rnacentral:rRNA from 1 species
CCGAAAAUUUUUGAGCUUUACACGAAUUGUUAAGAACAAAUAUUCUAUGUGUCAAUAUAUUUAUGUAUAUAAAUUUAGGUAAAGAAGCUACAUACUCUCGCAUUGGUUUAUAUCUGAUUUAUUGGGGUCUCAUAUAGUGAGCAUAUCUACGUUUAGAUUUAAAACUAAUAAGGGUAAGCUUUAUUAUAUUUAUUAUUUAAUAUCUUGUCUCUUUUUCAGGCUUUUAAGCAGCCCACUCACGUAAUAGUGAUCUUAUAUUAUAUUAUUAAAAAUACAACAACAACCAAUAUACUUUAACAAACAAAAUUAACAUUAAUAAUGGUAGAACAAAUAAUUUUAAACUUCUAAUUGUAAGAAUUAAAAAAAAAUCCCACUUAUUUUAAAUAUCUAUACAUAUAUAAAAAAGGAAUUUAGCAAACCAUAUUUUCGACUGUUUAUCAAAAACACUGCCACUAGAUCCUUCAUUAGUGGUCAAUUCUGCCCAGUGAAUUUUUAAAAUAAACGGCCGCGGUAAUUUUGACCGCGCUAAGGUAGCACAAUAAUGAGCCCUCUAAUUAAGGGAUAGAAUGAAUGAUUUAACGAAAAACAUACUGUCUCUUUUAUAAAAAUUGAAACUUGUUUUUGGGUGAAAAACCCCAAAUACCUCACAAAGACAAAAAGACCCUAUAAGCUUUAUUUUAGUAUUAUAUAAAUCUUUAAAAAUAUUUAAUUGGGGCGAUCUUAAGUAAAAAACAUUUAUAACUUAUAAGGUUUAUACUCCUCUAAAUCUAUCUCUAAACACACAAGUAAGUUACUGUAGGGAUAACAGGCCAAUUCUUCUUUAGAGAACAUAUCGACAGAAGAGCUUAGCACCUCGAUGUUGGCUUAGGAUUCCUUAAUUACGCAAAAGUAAUAUAAGGGGGUUUGUUCAACCUUUGAUCUCCUACAUGAGCUGAGUUCAGACCGACGCAAGUCAGGUUAGUCCCUAUCUUGUAAAAAUAUCAUAGUAGUACGAAAGGACC